UAAGUUGUAACAUCUUUUCAGUUCCUUUUUAUUUUUCCAGUUACCUUGAAAGCUUUCACAUUAUUGAUUUUGAUUCAAGUAGGGAAGUUUGAUUUAGAGAAUUAAGUUUUUGCAUGUUAAGUACAGUGGGUUCAUAAUUAAGGUGUUUUUGAUCCUUGAGCUCCCUCCAUCAUUGUGUGCCCCAUAUUUCCAUGUUUUGAGGGAAAUCAAUAUACCCAUACGGGUUGUUUCCAUGUUUCGAGUGUAUUGAGAAUAAGUGAUAAGUGUGUGUUUAUACAUAAUAUU
rnacentral:lncRNA from 1 species